rnacentral:rRNA from 1 species
UAUUAUUUAUAUAUAAUAAUAAUAAUAUUUUUAAUUAUUAAAUAUUAUAAAUCAAAAUUAAUUAAUUUGGCAGUAUUUUUAAAUAUUAGAGGAUUUUGUAAUUUAAUAGAUAAUACACUAUAAAAUUUAUUUAAAUUUUUAUAUUGUAUACUGUUGUCAUAAAAAUAUCUUUAAAAAGAAAAAUUUUUAAAAAAAAUUAUUAAUUUAAAAUGUCAAAUCAAAGUGCAUAAUAUAUUUAAGUUUUAUAUGAAAUACAUUUAUAAAAAUAUGAUGGAUAAUAAAUUGUAAAAUUUAUUUAAAAAUGGAUUUAAUUGUAAAUUUUUAUAAAUAUAAAAAUUGAAAUAAAAUAAAAAUAUGUACAUAUCGCCCGUCGUUUUUAUUAUAAAUUAAAAUAA